AUUGAACGCUGGCGGAAUGCUUUACACAUGCAAGUCGAACGGCAGCACGGACUUCGGUCUGGUGGCGAGUGGCGAACGGGUGAGUAAUGUAUCGGAACGUGCCCAGUCGUGGGGGAUAACGUAGUGAAAAUUACGCUAAUACCGCAUACGCGCUAUGGAUGAAAGCGGGGGAUCGCAAGACCUCGCGCGAUUGGAGCGGCCGAUAUCAGAUUAGGUAGUUGGUGGGGUAAAGGCCCACCAAGCCAACGAUCUGUAGCUGGUCUGAGAGGACGACCAGCCACACUGGAACUGAGACACGGUCCAGACUCCUACGGGAGGCAGCAGUGGGGAAUUUUGGACAAUGGGCGAAAGCCUGAUCCAGCCAUUCCGCGUGCAGGAUGAAGGCCCUCGGGUUGUAAACUGCUUUUGUACAGAACGAAAAGGUUUCUACUAAUACUAGGAGCUCAUGACGGUACUGUAAGAAUAAGCACCGGCUAACUACGUGCCAGCCGCCGCUGUAA
rnacentral:rRNA from 1 species